rnacentral:lncRNA from 1 species
AACAACAAAGGCGGUACAGCACAUGCUAAUGAAUCCAGAUAAGCCAGUUCUUUAUCAGAUAAGAAUAAUGAAGGUUGCUGGUGCCAUCAUGAUGGUGAGCCACAAGAACUCGUGUUUUCUCGAACAGAGGUUGGCAACCAUAUUUUUAAUAAUGAGAUGCCAUAAAAACGUCUCUAUCCAUAACGUUGCUACCCACAUUUUUUUACUUUUUGCCACUGUAAUCAUAUGCUUAGGAACCUGCCUGUUUGACCAAAACACUGAGUAAGCAAUCUCAGUUAUGUGUUCGAACUAGAGCCGUAGAAGGACCUUCGAGCCAUUGCCAAGUUAUGCACCGUAAAAAGUUUGUUGACUGCGUAAUAGGUGUCGUUUACAGCGUGUCUUUGUCCUGUGAACACAGCAACGUUGGUCAAAGAGGUAGAUGCCUAAAUAUACCGUUACAGAAACAUUAUCAAAAAGUAAAAAACGUGGAUAGGGAUGGUUCUUUGGCUUCUCAUUGUUCAGAAUGUUGUUGCCAGUCUCUGUUUAAGAAAACAAGCUCUUGCAGCUCACCUUCAUGAUGGCAUUGACGUUG